UGGGGAAUAUUGGACAAUGGGGGCAACCCUGAUCCAGCCAUGCCGCGUGUGUGAAGAAGGCCUUUUGGUUGUAAAGCACUUUAAGCAGUGAAGAAGACUCCAUGGUUAAUACCCAUGGACGAUGACAUUAGCUGCAGAAUAAGCACCGGCUAACUCUGUGCCAGCAGCCGCGGUGAUACAGAGGGUGCAAGCGUUAAUCGGAAUUACUGGGCGUAAAGCGAGCGUAGGUGGCUUGAUAAGUCAGAUGUGAAAGCCCCGGGCUUAACCUGGGAACGGCAUCUGAUACUGUUAGGCUAGAGUAGGUGAGAGGAAGGUAGAAUUCCAGGUGUAGCGGUGAAAUGCGUAGAGAUCUGGAGGAAUACCGAUGGCGAAGGCAGCCUUCUGGCAUCAUACUGACACUGAGGUUCGAAAGCGUGGGGAGCAAACA
rnacentral:rRNA from 1 species